rnacentral:rRNA from 1 species
GAUGAACGCUGGCGGCGUGCCUAAUACAUGCAAGUCGAGCGAACGGACUAGAAGCUUGCUUCUCUUAUGUUAGCGGCGAACGGGUGAGUAACACGUGGGUAACCUGCCUAUAAGACUGGGAUAACUUCGGGAAACCGGUGCUAAUACCGGAUAAUAUUUUUAACCACAUGUUUCAAAAUUGAAAGACGCUCUUGCUUUCACUUAUAAAUGUAUCCGCUCGUCAUUAGCUAGUUGUUAAGUUAACGGCUUACCAAGCCAACGAUGAAUACCCAACCUGAGAGGGUAACCGCCCACACUGGACUUGAGACACGGUCAAGAUUCCUCGGGGAGGAAGAAGAAGGAAACUUCGCGAAAUGAGCGAAGGCUUGCCGGACAACGGCGGCGUGAGUAAUGAGGGUUUCCGGAUCGAAAAACCCGGUUAUAAGGGAAAACCAUAUGUGUAAGUAAAUGUGCACCUAUUGACGGUAACUACUCAGAAAGCCACGGCUAACUACGUG